CUGGAAAUCACAAACCUACACCAAAGCUUACAGAAAGAUAAGCUCAAAGAUGGUCUCACUUGUUUGUUUCUCUACCCUUGUUCUUUCUUAUGUUUAUCUUAUUCGCAAGAGUUAAAGCUUGAUUCAAAUCUUCUACAAGGUCCAAUUCCUCGUACAAUUGGAUACACAAAGAAUUUAUUUGAAUUGAAUCUGAGUAAAAAUAAGCACAAUGAUUUGAUCCCUUCAUCACUAUCUAAUUUAUUUGCAUUUAACUAUUUGUACCUUGAGUCAAAUAAUUUCCUCGUGAAAUUGGAAACAUAAUGUUUUUUAUUGUGUUGAAUCUGCAUAUAAUUCCUUAGAGGGUCCCAUUCCAAAUUCCUUGACUAAUAUUUUUUCACUCGACUCAUUUUGAGGCAAUAAGCAUUUAUGUGGAAAUGUCCCUGGCUUCUCUCCUUGCCCUCCCGUUGCAAGUACAAAAACAGGCAGUGAAGUGAUACACAAGGAGAAACCCACAAAAUUCAUCCUUCCAAUUGUCUGCUUUUAGCCUUUUUGACUUCAGGAUUUUUACUCUGCCUUUGAUGAAGAUCAAAAAAUAACAUUCUUAAUCCACAAUCUGGAUCUGAAACCAUCAUUGAAGCGAUAAAAGGCUUUGAUAUCCAAUAUUGCAUUGGCAUCAGCGGUUAUGAUAGUGUUUAUAGAUCACAAUUAUCAAGCGGAAAGAUUGUUGCUUAAAGAAGCUUCACGGUCAAGAAGCAGAGGUCCCAGCUUUUGACAGGAGUUUCAAGAAUGAGGCAAAAAUGUUUUCAGAAGCACUGCACAAGAACAUUGUGAAGCUUCAUGGAUUUUGUCUCCGUAAUCGUUGAAUGUUUUUGAUUUAUCACUACAUGGCUCAAGGGAGCUGAACGUUGUGCUGCUUGCGCAAAAAACAAUGAAAAUUUUUAACAAUUUGAAGGUUUUUAACUGCAACGUACAGUGUAGAGUUAUAUAGUAUAGAAAAUUUUCUAAUGAAAUACGAAAAUCCGAAGAUCAAAGCUUAGGGAUUGUGAAUUAGUAAAUGCAUUGGUCAAAUUAAUAGAAAAUUAAGCAAUUACUAAUUUAAUUGAUUCAAGAAUUAUUAGUGCAACAAAACAAAAAGGGAUAUUUAAGAUAAUUCUAAAUUAACAAAUUAAACAAACUAAUCUAAUUUUCUUGUUGUUGUUUUGAAAGAGCAAAUGAUAAGACCAUGGUCAAUUGAUUAGUCGAUUGUUAACUAAGCUAAUAACCUAUCUCAAUUAAAUUGUUCACUACUCCUAACUAGAAAUCUUCUUUUCGUCUCAUCCUAAUUCGAAUUACUAGCUAAGCUCACCUCUCGGUCUCUCUUAGGCAAGUAGUUCUCCUCCUGCUCUCACUACCAGGAACAAUUAUAUGAAACUAUACAGUAAUAAACUCUCCUCUCAAUCUUGUUUACUAAAAAUUUCCACUAGAUGCAUCAAUUCUAGUUUAUUAAGCAUUUCAAUAUAAAAUAAGAAAUAAUUAGUCAAAGAUAUUCAUUAACCCAAUCUAACAACCUAUUAAUUAAUUGGCCAACAAACAAUAUUAGCAUACAUGAUCAAACUCAAUAAUCAAACGAACAUAUCAAACACAUGGUGUGCACAAAUAUAAAAGGAAAAUUUUAAGAAGUUUUCAUUACAAUAUGUCGAUCACAUGAAGCCCAUAAACUUGAUCAUCCCCAUCUUCAAAGAUCUCGACGAAGGAGAAGAAAAUUUACAACAAAACUCUAUUCUAAAGAAAAUAAAAGAAAAAAUCUACAACAAAACUCUAUUCUAACAAAAAUAAAAGAAAAAAAAAACCUAAUUUAAAGAAAAAAUGACAAGUAAAAAAAAUGUUCUACCCCAAAAUUCUACUCUCCUAAAAAAGACACAUGAAAUGAUAGUUAUAGUCUUUUCUAUUUUAAGAUAUUAAAGACAAAAAUGUUCUCACUUAAAUUUUGACUUAAAACUUGUUGGAUUGAAGAAUGCCAUUUAUAAAAUUUUCCUCGUUAGAGUCAAUGUCAUGACAACCACAUAAUGGUGUCACAACAUCAACAACAGUCUACUCCAGGGGACCUUUUUUGGUCUUCAGUGUCCCGACACCAUCCCAUUGUGUUGGAUCUGGUGCCCUAAGUGUAGUAUAUUAGUUUGUAUACUUGUAAUUUUUUUUGAACAUAUUGGUUUAAUAAAAUUAUUCAUGAAUUACAUUAAAACUCUUUUUAUAUUGCCCUCAAUGAUUUUUGCAUGCAAAGCAAAAUGAAAGAAAAUAUUAGUUCACUAGUUAUCUAAUAUUUAACUACUAAGCAGUGUUACAUGGUCGGAUUGUAAUAUAGAAAGAUAACUUAAAUUAGUAGAUGAACCUAAACAUGUCCUUAGUUUAAUCGGAAAUGAGCAAACCGAUAGAUAGACUAAUAAGUCGUCUAUCAUGUCCAAUUAGGGAGAUGCUUUGGCUUGGGCAUCGGAGCAGAUGACUCCCAAAAAAUAGAGACAUAGAUGUGACUGACUAGACUAACAAUACAUCAGAUAAGAUGCAAGUAGAAUAAAUCCUGAAUUUGUUUAUAGAUUUAUUUACUUGUGACAUUCAUAAUGUGACAUACCUUAAUCCUGAGUGUAUGAUGGACUAUGUAUGUAACCACUUCCAAACGUGUGAAUGUUUUGAGUAAAAAUCGUGCAAAUAAAAUAUCCAUAAUAAAGUGCAGUAUCUGCAAGCAAACAGGUCAAAUAGUAAUAUAGUUUUGUGUCACAACGGAACAUCAGUAAGUAUUCCGAGGAUUGUACCCAAAUGAUUGCAUACAGAAGAUAUUUAUUAUUAAAUUAAUUAUAGAAAACAAUUACUCAUCUAAUUGAGUCACGAAUUAGUAAUGUGAAUCCAAAUUAAAAUAUUUAUUAAACUAAUUAAAUUAUUUAACCUAAUUUAACCGUAUGGAAUUUCCUAUUCCUAGUGUCAAUGAUGCGAGCUUUCGAACUAUGAUUGAUUAAUAGAUAGAAGAUCAAUUUUGUCAAACCUUGGUUUUGCGAGCUGGUUCUAUUCGAGAGACUAUGCCGAUGAAGGCCGCCUAGGUUGCGAGACUUAGAUUGAUUUAGGUUGGUCGCUUCGUGGCUAAAUACUUCAUAGAACUUAGCCAAUGUUGUGGAGUACCACUUCGCGGAAUGGUGAGUUCUUGAUUGUGACGAGAAACUUAUUAGGCAGACUUUCUCGCUAAUAAGACCGCCACCCGUAUUUUUGUGUCACUACUAAUGAAAGCUUAGUAGUUAGUAGGACACAUUUUAGUCAUCUAAUGUCCUAAGGGAGGUGACAUGUCAAUAAUUAGGACACUUGGAGUACCUCUUAGGAUGUGAUUCAUUACUGGACGCAUGUUAGAACAAGUAAUGAUUGAAGUGAAUCCUAAGUGGAAUUUAUAUGUGAGUUAUCUAUAAAUAGGAGUGUAACACCCAUAACCCGUUUUCGUCACUAGAAUAGGAUUAUGGAGUAUUACCAUAUAAAACCGAAUAUUUUAUAGCCAAUAGAAAUUAAUUUUCAAAUUAGUUUAAUAAAUACAUAAGAAAUUCAAAAUGGAAUAAAUCACACAUUUACGGGCUUUAAAUCGAGCCUACGUGACCUUAAAAAUAGCUUUCGAGCAAUCAGGGACUAAAUCGAAACAAAUCAAAAUAUUUUUGGAAAAACUAAAAAUAUUUCACCUCCAGGGGUCACACGCCCGUGUGUGACACACGACCAUGUGAUAGCCCCUAUCCCAGACCGUGUGUGUCCAAAAAUGACCAAGAUCACGCUAUUUCCUCACCUAAUUGCAUAAGUACCUAAACCAAUUCAUAAUACAUGUUCACAAGUCUAUAAACACACCUUUAAACAACCAAAACAUGUCAUUUUCAAUCACCUAACACCAUACCAAGUAUCAUAUACUAAAACACAUUAUAAUGCUCAUGUUACUCAUUAUCAAAACAAUCAUGUAUAAGCCAUAACAUAACCAAACUAACCCAUUUCAAACACACCAUCCCAAUUUAAUAUGACACUUACCAUUUCAUAGCCUCAUACUCAAAUUUACUUAAAGUUUAACAACCAUACUACAAAGACUACCAUUCUAUCAUCAAGUACCAAAUAUCACCCAUAGCCAUGAAAUAUAGCAUAAUAACCAUUUGCCCUAUUACAUGCCAUAUAAGCCAAAUGUUUACAAAAUCUACCAAAUGAGUCCUCGGGAUAGUGUGAUUCUGUGAGUUGAUUCGAUCUCCUAACCAUAAAAUUUAAUCUAUAAAACAAGGAUAAAGCACGAGUAAGCUUACUUGAAGCUUAGUAAGUUCCUUAAAUCAAAUGAUAAAUUUUACCAAAUUUAACAUAACAAAUCACAGCUCACAACAGGUGAGUAUUGUACAAUACAUUAAUUCAAAUCAUAUUUCAAAGUUGUCAUUUAGUAAGAUCUCAUUUAAGGUGAUUUCAGGGUAUCACUCAUUCGAGUUAACUUCAGAACUUUGACCAGCUCACAAUGCUGCUCACACAAGCUGUAGAGAAUCCGCAACAGAUGCAGGAUCUCAAGCCAUCGUUACGGUCUGUAUCAUCUGUAUAUAGUACCUACUAAAUAAAUAUCGGGUCACGAUGCUGCUCACACAAGCUGUAGAGAAUCUACAACAGAUGUAGGAUCUCAGCCAUUGUUACGGUCUGUAUCACUGGUAUAUAGUACCUGCUAAAUAAUCAUCGGGUCACGAUGUUGCUUGCAAAAGCUGUACAGAAUCUGCAACAGAUGCAGGAUCUCAGCCAUCGCUACGGUCUGUAUCACCAGCUCAAGGCCUGAUAGACAACACCGAUACAAGGCCUGCUAGGCACAAAGCCUGAUAAACACACUGGCACAAAGCUUGCUAGGUACAAAGCCCGAUAAAUACACUAGCACAAAACUUGAUAUUCACGUACAUCACGUACAUCACGUACUCACAAUAUUCACUUAUUAUCAUUCUCAAAUUAUUAAAUAGUUAAAUACAACAUUGGAUCUAAUUAUAAUAAAAAUGUAAUACGUAAUAAUCCUUAUAAACAUAAAAUUAUAGUACAAACUUACAGGAUUGAUUUACAGUAACUUUUCAGAGUAUCUCAAUCAGUAAUCGAAGUUGCAUCAAUUCAAUAUUUCCAUUUUCAUUUACACAUAUCAAUAUAAUCCAACAUUAUGUAAUUAGAUUCAUAUAAUAAAUUUAUAAAUGUACAAAAAUUAAACCGAACGAACUUACCUGACUACUUGCAACAAUGAUAAAGGUAGAAAGACUAUUCGAUAAUUUCCUCCUUUCCUUGGUUUUCCACUCGUUCUUAAUUUAAAAUAAUAAUUUUAUUCAAUUCACUAAUACUCAAAUCAUGCAAUUAACCCAUUUUAUGGAAUUAUGUAAUUUUCUACAUUUAUAUAAAAUUACCCUCAACAUUUCACUUUUAUGCAAUUUAGUCUCUAGGUCAAAAUCAUGCAAUUUAAAGCUUAACAACAAUACUACAAAGACUACCAUUCUAUCAUCAAGUGCCAUGAAAUAUACUCCAAAUGUUUACAAAAUCUACCAAAAGAGUCCUCUAGAUAGUGUGAUUCUACGAGUUGACAAAGGUACAGGGACUAUUCAGUAAUUUUCUCUUUUCCUCGGUUUUUCACUCAUUCUUGAUCUAAAAUAAUAAUUUUAUUCAAUUCACUAAUUCCAACAGCAAAAUUAACCUAUUUUAUACAAUUAAGUAAUUUUUUAUAUUUUUAUGAAAUUACCCCCAACAUUUCACUUUUAUGAAAUUUAGUCCCUAGGUCAAAAUCAUGCAAUUUAACCAUUUUCUAUUAAAUCCAAGCUUAGCCGGUCUAUUAAACCCUUCAUUACAACCCAAACUUGAUGCUAUUUUGCAUCAAGUCCUUGUACUUUUACUAUUUUUCACAUUUUAGUCAUUGAACAUUAAAAUCAACAAAAACUACUUCACAAAAUUGUCCUAUUUAGCAACCAAGCUUAAUAUUCUAUCAUAAAACUUCAAGAAUAUACUAAAAUCAUCAAUGGCACAAUCCAAAACAUUUAAUAGUAUUACAAAUUAGUCCUCGAGUUAGCUAGAUUAAGCUAAUAUGAAUUUAAAAACAUAAAAAUUUCUAAAAAUAGGCAAUGUUUGCUCACCCAAUUGAAGAACCCAAUCUUGGUCGAAGCUUUCAAUACCCUAGCUAUGGAGUUUCAGCUUGCUUAAUAAGAAGAGGAAAAAAAGUGAUAAUAUUAAUAUUAACUUAUUAAUUUAAUUUACCAUUUACUUAUGUACCAAAUUAACCUUUAUUUUAACGGAUAAAAUCAUUAGAACAUGCCUAAAAAUGCCCAUAAUUUAAAUAUAUGGUGCAAUUACCAACCAAGAAAGGUUUAACUGUACAAUUGGUCCUUCAAUUAUUUUAAAUUUUAACUAAACAAGCUUAUUUUCAAUUUAACCCUAAACUAAUUAGAACUCAAUGAUCAAAAAGCCCAAAAGUUAGUGGAUUUAAUCAUAUCCACCACUACUUGGACUUUUUGACCAUGGUUUAAUUAUCAUUUUGGUCCCUUUACUAUUUUAAAUAAAAAUAAUUAACUUUUACCUCUUUUACAAUUUAAUAUUUUUACCGUAAUUAAGCAAUAAAUCAUCAAAAUUAUCGGACCAAACUUCAAUUCACAUAUAAUAUGACUCUGUAAAUAUUUAAUAAAUAUAUUUACGACUUUAAAUUAUGGAAACGAGGUCCUAAUACCUCAUUUUUAAUAACCCAUUGACUUUUGAAUUGAACCACUUCUACUAACUGUUAAUUCAAUUGGUUAAAAAUCCUCUAGUCAAAUUUCAUUAUAAAGUUACUAUUGACUCGUAUAAUUUAAAUAUUAAUUAUACAAGCUUACUUGUCAGAAUUGUGGUUCCAAAACCAUUAUUUCUGACACCACUGAAGAACGGGCUGUUACAAGGUAGCGUGAUAGUGGAGAGAAAGUUUUUGUUCCAUCUUCUCUUGUAGAUGUUGUUAUCAUCGAAGGAACCACAAUAGUUCUUUGUCAUUAAUGAAGGCGUCAUCUGUUAAUAUUAGGAGAACUUCUAUGCUAGUUGGCUACUGGUAAACUCUUAAACCUUCUUUUAAGAUUUACUAGGAAGAAAUAAGCUACUGUAAGAGAGGUUGAGUAGGAUUUUCAUUUGGAUAAUGUGUCACAUGAUUACGUGCAAGUGUACACGAUUGUACAAGUAAUAAGUUGUGCGUAAAUAGUAUUGUCUCCAUAAAUACUGUUGUGUGAAUUAUUUUCAAUGACAAUUUUAAUCAAUUUGGAAGGAAACAAAUAAAAGAGAAUAUUUUCGAUGAGAAUCACAAUUUAAGUUAAUAAGGAAAAAAUUAGAAUUCAAAGACCCACAAAGUAAAACUAUGUAGAAAAUAAUCACAACAGGAAAUAAACACAAGAAUUAAUAUAAAACCACAUGAAUAAACUAAAAUAAAUAUUCCACUUAAUAAUAAUUUAUUGGCAUUCAUAGAAAGAAUAUCACAAAGGGUCAUGCCAAUAUGAAAAUUCAUUAAAACCAUUUUAUUUAGGGCGUAGGCUUCUCUUGAAGUCCUAUUAUUUCCAUAAGUUAGUUAACAUAUGUCUAUGCCAAAACUAACCUAAAAAUCACCCUCUCGGGCAUUUACACAUUUUAUGCAUACAAAAUCAUCUUUUGAUAUCGACAUGAUAUGCACAAUUUAGGUCUUUUGUCAAUUAUCCAUUACCUUUUCUCAAAUUAAUAGUUAAUUCAUUAAUCACAAAUGUUGGGUAUACAUUUAUAAGUAUAAUCAUGAAUUAAACCUAAAUGAAUGAAAGAAUCAUUUGCACAAAAUAUUCAGAAAACAAAAACCAAUUUGCUCAAAUCAAGAUUCAUAUCCAUUGUGAAUAAACAAAAAUCAUUCAUGUCAUAUCAAAUUGAAACCAUGAAGAUGAGAUGCAAGCUUGUCCCAUGAAAUAGAAAACAAUAAUUAACAGUAAAUAUAGAGGAAGGAAAGAGUAGUUGAGGGGGUUAUCCACAACCAAUUCACAAUAAAAAGAGGAAAAAAUUGACUACAGGGGGUUAUCUGUGGCUGCUCCUUGCGGCUUCCCAUGGUGGCUCUCCUCCUCAUCUUUUAUGCUAAAAUCAUUUAGACGUUUUCAAGACAUCCUCCUAGUUGCUCUUAUUUCGACAAGUGUUUGCCUUAUUUUGUGGAGUUCAAGUGUUUAGGAAGCCAUGGGAAAGGCAAGAAAACUUAAUGUUAUUUCUCUCUAAAAGAUGGUGUUUUGAUGAAUGAUAAUGAGGUCUCAGUUUAUAAGCUUAAGCCCCAAACGUCUUUGCUAUUUUUUGCAAAGAGAUUGCUUGAUUUCUCCCCAUGACUGACGUCCCUUGAAUGGUGGAAGUGGGUGAAGAUUUUGCUUGAUUUCCUCCCCUUUUUGAUGUCAUU
rnacentral:lncRNA from 1 species